AGAACGAACGCUGGCGGCGUGCCUUACACAUGCAGUCGAACGGAGUUGAGGGGCUUGCUCCUCAAUUUAGUGGCGCACGGGUGAGUAACGCGUAGAUAAUCUGCCUGGGGAUUUGGGAUAACACUUCGAAAGGGGUGCUAAUACCGAAUAAGCUCACGGAGUCCUUGGACUCUGCGGGAAAAGGGGGGGACCUUCGGGCCUUCCGUCUCCAGAUGAGUCUGCGUACCAUUAGCUAGUUGGUAGGGUAAAGGCCCACCAAGGCGACGAUGGUUAGCUGGUCUGAGAGGAUGAUCAGCCACACUGGAACUGAGACACGGUCCAGACUCCUACGGGAGGCAGCAGUGGGGAAUUUUGCGCAAUGGGGGAAACCCUGACGCAGCAACGCCGCGUGAGUGAUGAAGGCCCUUGGGUCGUAAAGCUCUGACAGAGGGAAAGAAGUGUGUUGUGGCUAAUAUCCGCGAUACUUGACGGUACCCUCAAAGGAAGCACCGGCUAACUCCGUGCCAGCAGCCGCGGUAAUACGGAGGGUGCAAGCGUUGUUCGGAUUUAUUGGGCGUAAAGCGCGUGUAGGCGGUUUUAUAAGUCUGAUGUGAAAGCCCCGGGCUCAACCUGGGAAGUGCAUUGGAUACUGUAAGACUUGAAUACGGGAGAGGGCAGUGGAAUUCCUGGUGUAGGAGUGAAAUCCGUAGAUAUCAGGAGGAACACCGGUGGCGAAGGCGGCUGCCUGGACCGAUAUUGACGCUGAGACGCGAAAGCGUGGGUAGCAAACAGGAUUAGAUACCCUGGUAGUCCACGCCGUAAACGAUGAGUACUAGGUGUUGCGGGUAUUGACCCCUGCAGUGCCGCAGCUAACGCAUUAAGUACUCCGCCUGGGAAGUACGGUCGCAAGACUAAACUCAAAG
rnacentral:rRNA from 1 species